GACGUAGGGGGCGAGCGUUGUUCGGAUUCACUGGGCGUAAAGGGUGCGCAGGUGGCUUGGCAAGUUUGAUGUGAAAGCUCAGGGCUUAACCCUGAAAUGGCAUUGAAUACUGUUGAGCUGGAGGUUUGGAGGGGGGACUGGAAUUCUUGGUGUAGCAGUGAAAUGCGUAGAUAUCAAGAGGAACACCAGUGGCGAAGGCGAGUCCCUGGACAACACCUGACACUGAGGCACGAAAGCUAGGGGAGCAAACAGG
rnacentral:rRNA from 1 species